UAUUAUAAUACCUUUGUUCGUCCCUUCAAAAUGCUUUUACUGUUUUAAAGUGAGAGUAGUUUGUUAAACCAAAUGAUAUUUACAAUUUAAAGAGAAUGGUGAUAAGUAUGCACUACAGUCAGUACGAUUAUAAUUGAAAUGCCAUGAGUUAUGAUACUAUUGAAAGAAUGAUGUCAAGUUAUCAUCCUGAGAUAGGCUAAUUGUCAAAAAUUGUUUUAAUAACAUGUGUAUAACACGCAGCAAAUGGAUAUAAAGAGCAAAAUUUAAUUGAAUUUCAAUUCUUGAUGUGAAUUUGUUUACAUAAGGAUCGAGCACUUGGAACAGCUCAAAGUGAAAUCAAGGUUUCUAUAGCAAUGGAAAUCCUCAAAGUUCAAGGCUCUUGAAUAGAUAUCUAUUAAUCGGUUAGUAAUUAGACCAUCCCUUCUGCACUAUUAUUCAUCUCUAAAUUGAUGUGUUAUUUUAACUUUUUUUGCAACUGGAAUGUAGUUAUUGCAGUGGAUUUGAAAAAAAAGUGUGUCGGUUGAUAGAGACCUUCAAAUUCGAGUAUACUGUGUUGGACCUGUAUAGUUUAAAUUAUUCAUUUCAUUUGCACAGACAUUACUAUCGUUUUUCAUGUGCAUUCUUCGGUAUCAAGCAGCAGCCUAUAGGAUUUCUUUUAAAUUUGAAGCAUUUGGUCCCUUUAUAAUUAGAAUUAGACCAACUAAAAUUUGGCUACAGGUGCUAUGCACUCUCGGAUACAAAACGUUGGGAGAGGUCAUCUUAGAGUCUCAUUGAACAUGUGACGAUGUAAUUUAUGGGAUAAAUAAUCAAAUAAUAAUGGUGAUCUAGAUAUUCUCGAUUUUGAGUUUUUCCUUCUAAAUUGCAUAAGGUCGAGUAAGAUUGUUGCUUCAGCAUAUGACAUGAUUAUUCCAUACUUUGCCUGUCAUUCAGAAUGCAGAGUAGUAUGGUAAAUAGUUGAUUUAAUAUGUCAUUAUUCUGUAUUAUGUUGGGUUAAGACUGCUUGUUGAUAGUAAAACGCCUUCAUCUUUUGCUCAAUAAGCAAAUAGUAUUUGGUAUCAUUUAAAGUACAUGAUUUCCAAGAGCUGUAUUGGCUGUGGAGUGCCUCUGCUAGUUUCCAAACUUCUCAAUUUACUUCUAUUAUUUUAUUAGUUUUGUGUUUGUUGCUAUAAAAUUUUGAUACCCAUAUAUAAUCUUUUUUGUAUUUUUGUGUACGUGGUAAUACUAAGUGUCUUUAAUUCCCAGUUCUCUCACUUUCUCUCCCUUUGUUUUUUUUUUUUUUUUUUUUUUUAAAUGCUGUGAUUAUUUGUAGUAACCAUUGAAGUGGAUUAUGCACCCAAGAUGUUUGAUGAUAUAUGCCUGACUCCUCUUAUUUGCAGUAAUGAAAUCCACAGGUUUUGUUUUAGGUUUGCCGUGAACUUGCACGAAACGGCAGUGAUCUAACUAUAAGAGAAAGUUAUAAUGAUCUUGAGGCUUGGUUGAAUUAGACUUGGAGGAAACAUUUGAGUAUUUUGCUGAAGUAGUUUGUAUGGAACGAGAAGGCUGAGUGGUAAGGAGUUGAAACUAAUAAAAUUUUCGUGUUGUAUGAUAGCUGGUAAACUGAUCAGCUACCUCCUGUGUGUUUACUUUACCAAAAGAAUAGGCAGGCGGUGCAUUUUUUAGAUUUAUGAUGCUGGAGAUAGGUGGGGUAUAGGAUGGUUGGGUCAGGGAACAUAUUUUCUUUUAAAAUGAUUUCUAAUGGGAAAAUAUUAUUUUAAGAUGUGUUUGGAUGAGUUCUGGCCAACCUCUACUGGUUUUUGGCUAAAUUGAUAUUCUAGAAUAUAUACUGAAAGUUGAUGAUUUUUAGUUAAAAAAUUAUUUGAUGAUUUUCGGGCAAAUAGAUAAUAAGGCAAUGAGCUUCUAGGUAAUUAACCCCAAUGUUCUCUUCUUUUUUGAGUUGUCGUAACAAUCUAAACUACCACCAUGUAACCGCGAUUAUGAUUGAAGAGGUACUCCCCUUGGUAACUCUCCUCGGUAAUUACAAGAAGCCUUCUCGAUUCCGCCGAAGAAAGUGUGUAAGCCCUCAGUCGGAGUAGGUGGGGAUCGCAAGUAUUAGGCUUAAGAGGUGGAACAAGAGUGUUGUAGAAGAACGAAAGGGCUGUAAUUCAUGCUUUUAAAUGCAAGGACACGAGGAGAAUUAUAGCACUCUUUGCCAACAAUUCAGCAGAAUGUCCAGUUUUUUUUGGUGUAACGUGCAGUCAUGUAAAAUGUCUCAAAAGGCAUUACUCGAGGUUAACUUUCUUGCUUUAUAUCACUAUGAAUGACAGACACGGUAGGUCAUAAUAACUAAAGAUCCUCUAUUUACGAAUGAAAACUCUGAUUUAUGUGUAAUUAUAGACAUCCUAAUUCUUUUGUCUGAAGAAUAUGUUACCUUUCUUUUGUUGUUCCAUAUUGUGAUUUCUUUUGCUGAAUGUUAUUUUUAAUGAUAUGAUGAGAGAAUGGAAGAAAUGGUGGUGUAGAAAUGAAAUGAUAUACAUUAAUUGCCUAAAAGGCAUAUGUAUAUAGUUACAUCUAUUCCGGGGAAUGCAUGGAUAGGAUGGGAUAGGUUUAAUAUAAGCAAAUUUAUGAGUUCGUAACUGAAGCAGAUCUGGCAGUUGCAGGACUCUCCUUAUGAAGUUUGGUUCAUAAUUGGUCCAUUACAGGCUGGUAUGUGAAAUACAUAAGACACAAAAGGAUGCAUAGGUUAAUGAUGUUGAAAAGGUAUGAAAUUUAUGGAGUAUAUUUUGGUCUCCUCAAUUAUUGAUUGUAUUUUGGUAUCUUCAGAUCACGUCUCUAAUGCUUUUUCAGCUUCAGUCCUUUAGCAAUUUUUACAUGCUAACUGUCCGUAACUUCUUUAAUGAUUCUGUUUUCAAAUUCCAUCC